rnacentral:rRNA from 1 species
CCCUUAGAUGUUCUGGGCCGCACGCGCGCUACAAUGGUCUUCGCAAACGGAUGCAUUCUCGAAGGAGAAUGCCAAUCUUGGAAUCUAUGCCUUGGUCGGGACAGUUGCUUGCAAUUUUUCGACUCGAACCAGGAAUUCCUUGUAAUCGUGAUUCAUCACAUCACGAUGAAUACGUCCCUGCCCUUUGUACACACCGCCCGUCGCUCCUACCGAUCGAAGAGUUAGGUGAAUUGUUUUGACCGAUAAGAUUUGACUAUGGUCAACUCUCGUUGUGAAAUUCUGUGAAUCUGACUGUUUAGAGGAAGGAAAAGUCGUAACA